ACCUGCUAAAUGUUCCCAAACAAAAUGAAUAGUUCCCGUAACUUCCCUUCUCCCUUGUUCCCCUCAAUCCAAACAAGCCCUUAAAAUUCCAAACAAAGCAUAAGACAGUAGUAGGUGCAACAUUUUCCAAUAGCCCUAUAGAUAGGAGACAUCGCAUAUUUUUGACCGGAGGAACCAGCGAUGGAGUGGGAGAGACAGCAGGAGGUUGUGAGGAAGGCUGAGAAGCUGGUCGAGGAGACGAUGGGAGCACGUGACGCCUCCCACGACGCUGCUCACGCUUACAGGGUCCGCGAUCUCGCCCUCUCCCUCGCUAAAGAGGAAGGACUGGACGACCAUUGCUUUGAGAUAGUGGAGAUUGCUGCUCUUCUUCAUGACAUUGGAGACUACAAGUAUACCAAAGACUUGGUUGAGGAUACAUCAAUCCUGGAGAAGUUUCUCAAGGAAGAGGGAUUGGAAGAUAGCAAACGAGAGAAAAUAUUGAGCAUCAUAAAAGGAAUGGGUUUUAAAAAUGAAGUUGCAAAGAUAUCAUGCUUUGAUUUCUCUACGGAAUUUGGGGUUGUCCAAGAUGCUGACCGUCUUGAUGCAAUAGGUGCUAUCGGAAUUGCUCGUUGCUUCACAUUUGGGGGAAGUAAAAACAGAGUGCUACAUGAUCCUAAGAUAUUGCCUCGUGAGGAUUUAUCAAGACAAAGUUAUAUGAACAAAGAUGAGAAGCAGACCACAAUUAACCACUUCCAUGAAAAGCUUUUUAAACUGAAGGACUUGAUGAAAACAGAGGAAUAUGCAUGGAAUUAGUUUGCGCGUCCUUAUGGAUCACAUGAUCAGCUAUUCAAGAUGGAUGAUUUAACUAUGGCUGGUAGAAGAAGGGCUGAGAAAAGGCACAGGUUCAUGCAGGAUUUUGUGGCAGAAUUCUAUGAAGAAUGGAAUGGAAGAGCUUGAGGCAUUCUUCAUCAUUUACGCGCAGAAGAAAAUCUAUUUUUAUCUUAUAGGCCUUUGUGGUAUGCAGCAUCAACAUCAUGUGUUUGAAAUCGUUGUUUUUAUUAUCCUAUAAAUUCUUGUGUUAUACGAUUCAAAAGAGAUUGUGGACUUUAUCUUGAGUAUUAUCAAAGGGAUAGCGGAUUCUGUUUCGAGGGUUUUCUCGGAUGUUGUUAUGUUAUUAUCUUUAUUUAUACCAAUUUAUUGUCA